rnacentral:sRNA from 1 species
GCGCAGUGCGGGGAUCCCCGUUUCAGUCGGCAGAGAGAGAGCUCGCGGGUGGUUCCGGUCCGACUUUUCAGGCUGGACGGGUGCCUGCCCCUCAGGUGCGAGUUUGUGCGGUAAAGAACACACCCCGGAGAUGUGGAUACGGCUGCCCCAGGAGGGUCCUUGUUUGGGGACUUACCUUCAAUCUGUUCAGUCCCCAUCCACCCCUCUCCGCCUCUGCAUGGCGAUAAAGGUGGAAAUCAACGAGAACUUGCCCGCCAGAAAAACAUGAAGAAAACCCAGGAAAUUAGCAAGGGAAAGAGGAAAGAGGAUAGCUUGACUGCCUCUCAGAGAAAGCAGAG